rnacentral:rRNA from 1 species
GUAUCCCAAGUAGGAAGAGACACGUGAAACCUCUUCUGAAUUUGCGAGGACCACCUCGUAAGACUAAAUAUUCCUGAAUAACCGAUAGUGAACCAGUACCGUGAGGGAAAGGUGAAAAGAACCCCGGGAGGGGAGUGAAAUAGAACAUGAAAUCGUAAGUUUACAAGCAGUAGAAGAGCGACUUAACGCUCGACUUCGUGCCUGUUGAAGAAUGAGCUGGCGACUUGUAGGUUAUGGCAAGGUUAAAGUAAGAAAAUACUGGAGCCAGAGUGAAAGCGAGCUUGAUAAGAGCGUUAAGUCAUAAUUUACAGACCCGAACCCGGAUGAUCUAACCAUGGCCAGUGUGAAGCUUAGGUAACACUAAGUGGAGGUACGAACCGACUGUUGUUGAAAAAACAGCGGAUGAGUUGUGGUUAGGGGUGAAAUUCCAAUCGAAUCCGGAGCUAGCUGGAUCUCCCCGAAAUGCGUUGAGGCGCAGCG